rnacentral:rRNA from 1 species
GAUGGAGAGUUUGAUCCUGGCUCAGGACGAACGUUGGCGGCGCGCCUGACCCAUGCAAGUCGUGCGACGGACCUUCUGGGGUUACCCGGGAGGUUACGGAGCGGCGGACGGCCGAGUAACGCGUAAGCAACCUACCCCUCGGAGGGGGAUAACCCUCUGAAAAGGGGGCUAAUACCCCAUACGCUUAGGGAGGCGCAUGCCUCCUUAAGGAAAGGGAGGAAACUCCCGCCGAGGGAGGGGCUUGCGUCCUAUCAGCUAGUUGGUGAGGUAACGGCUCACCAAGGCGAUGACGGGUAGCUGGCCUGAGAGGGUGGUCAGCCGGACUGGGACUGAGACACGGCCCAGACUCCUACGGGAGGCAGCAGGGCGGAAUCUUGCGCAAUGCCCGAAAGGGUGACGCAGCGACGCCGCGUGAGGGAUGAAGCCCUUCGGGGUGUAAACCUCUUUUGCAGGGGAAGAAACCUGACGGUACCCUGCGAAUAAGUCCCGGCCAAUUACGUGCCAGCAGCCGCGGUAAAACGUGAGGGGCGAACGUUGUCCGGAAUCACUGGGCGUAAAGGGUACGCAGGCGGUGGAGAAAGUCGGGUGUGAAAGCCUCAGGCUUAACCUGAGGAGGACGCUCGAUACUUCUCCACUUGAGGAAGGGAGAGGGAGGUGGAAUUCCCGGUGUAGCGGUGAAAUGCGCAGAUAUCGGGAGGAACACCAGUGGCGAAGGCGGCCUCCUAUCCCUUUCCUGACGCUCAGGUACGAAAGCUAGGGGAGCGAACCGGAUUAGAUACCCGGGUAGUCCUAGCCGUAAACGAUGGGUGCUAGGUGUUGGGGAGUUAAACUCCUCAAUGCCGAAGCUAACGCAUUAAGCACCCCGCCUGGGGAGUACGACCGCAAGGUUGAAACUCAAAGGAAUUGACGGGGGCCCGCACAAGCGGUGGAGCAUGUUGUUUAAUUCGAUGCUAACCGAAGAACCUUACCAGGGCUUGACAUGCUGGUGGUAGCGAGCCGAAAGGUAAGCGACCCUAACCCUUUUUGGGUUAGGGAGCCAGCACAGGUGCUGCACGGCUGUCGUCAGCUCGUGCCGUGAGGUGUCGGGUUAAGUCCCUCAACGAGCGCAACCCCCACCCUUAGUUGCCAUCGGGUAAUGCCGGGCACUCUAAGGGGACUGCCAGGGUCAACCUGGAGGAAGGUGGGGAUGACGUCAAGUCCGCGUGGUCCUUAUGUCCUGGGCUACAAACAUGCUACAAUGGGAUGUACAGAGGGAAGCAAUGCCGCGAGGCGGAGCUAAUCCCUAAAGCAUCCCCUAGUUCAGAUUGCAGGCUGCAACUCGCCUGCAUGAAGACGGAAUCGCUAGUAACCGCCGGUCAGCCAAACGGCGGUGAAUACGUUCCCGGGCCUUGUACACACCGCCCGUCAACUCAUCCGAGUCGGGGGUACCCGAAGUCACUGGCCCAACCGCCUCUGGCGGAGGGAGGUGCCGAAGGUAUCCUCGGUGAGGAGGAGUAAGUCGUAACAAGGUAGCCGUAGCGGAAGCUGCGGCUGGAUCACCUCCUUUCU